GAUGAAGAACGCAGCGAAAUGCGAUAAGUAGUGUGAAUUGCAGAAUUCAGUGAAUCAUCGAAUCUUUGAACGCACAUUGCGGCCAUAGGUAUUCCUUUGGCCAUGCCUGUUCGAGCGUCAUUUACACCCUCAAGCCUAGCUUGGUGUUGGGCGUCUGUCCCGCCGUUUUCGCGCGCGGACUCGCCUCAAAGUCAUUGGCGGCGGUCGUGCCGGCCCCCUCGCGCAGCACAUUUGCGCUUCUCGGAGGCCCGGCGGAUCCGCGCUCCAGCAAGACCUUUCACGACUUGACCUCGGAUCAGGUAGGGAUACCCGCUGAACUUAAGCAUAUCAAUAAGCGAGGA
rnacentral:misc_RNA from 1 species